UACGUAGGGUGCGAGCGUUAAUCGGAAUUACUGGGCGUAAAGCGUGCGUAGGUGGUUCGUUGUGUCUGUGGUGAAAGCCCCGGGCUUAACCUGGGAAUGGCCAUGGAAACUGGCGAGCUGGAGUGUGACAGAGGGGGGUGGAAUUCCGCGUGUAGCAGUGAAAUGCGUAGAGAUGCGGAGGAACACCGAUGGCGAAGGCAGCCCCCUGGGCUAACACUGACGCUGAGGCACGAAAGCGUGGGGAGCAAACAGG
rnacentral:rRNA from 1 species